UUUUUUUUUUUUUUUUUUUUUUUGGCUUCAUCGAUGGCAUGUGGAAGUUCCCAGGCCAGGGAUGGAACCCAUCCCACAGCAGUGACUUGAGCCAUGGCAGUGACAACACUGGAUAUUUAACCCACUAAGCCACCCAGGAACUCCCACACAAAUGGCUUUAAUUUGCCUUUCUCUAGGGACAAUCAAUAGGAGCAAUUGUUCAUGUGCUUGUUUGCCGUCCAUCUAGCUUUUAAGUGACCGCUCAAAUGUGUUGCUCUAGCUUCAUUGUGGUAGCCGAGGUGGAGGAUCUACACGACAGGGUCUGUCUCUUGUACUUGGCGACACAAGCUGUGUUGGCAACUCCAAUAGCGCACCCUGAGAAGUGGGUGCGGAGGGAGACGGGUGGGUAAGAAUGAUGAGCAAGUAUCAUGGUGCAUGGUUAUAACAUAGAAAGGCAGAGAGAACAUGAUCUCAGUGGCUCUACCACGUGGAGGAGGACAGGAACCCUGACUGAGUUACAGGAGGAGCAAAGGUGCACAGCAGUCGGCCUGCGUGAGAAGAUUCUGUCACUCUGGAAGGCAACUCAGUGAGAUACGGUUUCCUUGGGGCUUUCUGGAGGAGGAGAAAGGGGCAGAAUGACAACAUGCGUGAUUGAGAUCUAUAAACCCAAAAGGUGGAACUGAAAAAAAAAAAAAAAAGAAAAAAAAGAAAAGUGGCCAGAAAACAACUUUGUGCCUUAUGGUAUUUAACUUCAUGUCAAGUUGCCUAAAGAAAUUUGGGUUCAGAUCCACGGACAAGGAGAACAUAUUUGUGGUUGCCAAGUGGGGUGGGGGGAGGAAGAGGAAUGGAUGGGGAGUUUGGGAUUAGUAUAUGCAAACUAUUACCUUUAGAAUCAAUAGGCAACGAGGUCUUACUGUGUAGCACGGGGGACUAUAUCAAGUCCCCUGGGAUAAAACAUAAUGGAAAGGAAUAUUUUUUUUAAAAAAAUGUAUAUGUGUAUAACUAUACAUUUCUGUAACUAUGCAUUUCUAUAAUGUAUAGUUAUAGAAAUCGGCACAACAAUUUAAAUCAACUAUACUUUUAAAAUAAAUUCUUUUUUUAACCACUGCACCCACAGCAUAGGGAAGUUCUCAGGCUAGGGUUCAAAUCCAAGCUGCAGCUGCCGGCCUACACCACAGCCACAGCAACGUGGGAUCUGAGCCACAUCCGUUAUGUACACUGUAGACUGUAGCAAUGCUGGAUCCUUAACCCACUGAGCGAGGCCAGGGAUUGAACCCACAUCCUCACAGAGACAACUUCAGGCCCUUAACCCACUGAGUCACAACGGGAACUCCUAAAUCAACUAUGCUUUAAUUAGAAAACUUUUAAAACUUCUGUUUGUGAGGUGCCACCAUGCUGGCCUCUCUGGGGCCCUCAGUCUGCACAGACCCUCUGUGUGCUGGGAGGUGGGGAAGGAACAAGCCACGGACAGCCUGUGACAUCGCUGAGGUGUGGACGGAAAUGUGGGAUGAAUUCACAGCAGGAAGGCAGGCUGAGCCAGGAGCCCUCGGAGCACAUCUGUUGCCAGAGAUCACCCCGGAGAGGAAGCGAGUCUGGGAUGCAUUUAUCCAGCAGCGGGGCUGAGAUAAAACACAGAAGGAAUCUGAAUCUCUUCAGCCAGUGCCCAGAGGAAAUGCAGCAAUGUGGCGCCUGACUCUUGGCCAACCAGUACCCACCUGCAAAUCUUUAUCCCGCUCCCUACCCCUCAGGGCCGGGCCAUUGUCCUUUCCUGUAUGUCCCUGCCCAUCCCACUUGUUCAGUGGUAACAGGACAGAUAAAGUCUAGGAACCGUGGAGAAAGCUCUAGCUGGCUGGCUCUCCAGACAGAAAGCUGGAGAUGGUUAAGCUACUUUUGCUCUCUGGGAGAGCUCUUUAGAAAACAAUCAACCUUCAGGCAACCAGCUCGUAGGCCAAGCCCAACAGGCUUGGGGGGUGAGUCUUUGUUUUCUUCAGAAGGGUUGUCCCCACAAAGCACUUAGGGGUUGGGACCGGGGUUGGGAUCAGAGCCAGAAAUUGCUUUCACGCUCCUGCUCCUAUGUGAAGAUUUAUCGAUUUUUACUUGCGGACUUUGAGAUGUCUUAGUUUCAAACAUUUCUCUUUGCCUGGUGACUGAUUCCCUGCCACCCCCUGACUCCCCACCUCCUGGCCCUCACCUUUCCAUAAACUCACCUGAAAGAAGACACCUGCCUUCCCUUUUGGCUCCAAAGACCUUAGAGGUCAAAGGUGGUUCCGUCAGGUCUGGUAGCCGAGGAUGGUUUAGCAUGUCAGGUCCCUCUGCAUUAUUUCUCCAUCCUGGCCCACAUGCAACAAAGAAUUGGAGGUGUGGGUGGUCUGGCAUUCAAUUUAUUAAAGCAAAAGUACAUUUUCAGAGAGAGGGAGAGAGAGCUCAUGUGAGUGCAGGUUAAAGGAGGGCUGGGCUUAUUUUUACAAUUGUUUCUAUACCCCCAUGGGGCAGACCCCGAUGGAGACCCAAUCUCUCCUGCCCCAGCGCCCCCUAUGCAGGACUGAGUGCUGUUUGGUCUCUGUAGGGGGCGUAUCUGAUCUUCUGAUUGGUCUUGGGCAGGAUGCCUCAUUUGCAUGGAGAACAGGUUCUAUAAGAGGCGGGGUGAAGUAUGGGUGACAUUCCUUCCCUACCAGGUUGGUCGAGGUGGGGAAGGGGCAUUAGGUUGAGAUGUGGCCAAGGCUUUGGGACUUGAUCUCCCUGAAGGGGAUUUGCAGCCUGUAACAGUUCUGUUCUUGGGGAUCCAUUGGGUGGGUGGAUUGACCAGAGCAUCGCUGUGACCCAGAAAGUUCUCCCCAACCCAGGCCACACCUGGUGGUUCCUGUUUCACGGGAGAAAGAUCUUUAUUGGAAGAGGCCUGGACCUGAGGCUGGUCCUUAGGGAGCCCUGGCUUCACAUUGCAGAAUCUUCCUGCUUCAAAUCUGCACGGCUUUGUGUCCCAUAGUACUGAGUUCUCAAGCGGGAUCACUUGGGCAGAGAAUUGGGAGAGAAUGUACGACUCUAGAGAGGGCUUCAAAUACCAGAUAUUAAUUUCUGAAUGUUGUUUAGGCACUACCUCAACCUGCAAGUUUUAUUCAUCGAUUCCUCUAAGUAUUUAUUACGGUGUAUUUGCUGUUGGUAUUUAUCCUUUAGAUUUAUGAGUCGAUGUUUUCCACUCUUAGGCAUACCCUGCUGGGCCCAGGAAUCACGAAGAAAUAAUUAUUGCACAGGAGUUCCCACUGUGGCUCAGCAGGUUAAGACUAGUAUCCAUAAGGAUGGAGGUUGGAUCCCUGGUCUCGCUCAGUGGGAUAAGGAGCCAGUAUUGCCACAAGCUUCGGAGUAGUUCGAAAAUGUGGCUUGGAUCCAGUGUUACUGUGGCUGUGGCAUAGGCCCACAGCUGCAGCUCCAAUUAGACCCCUAGUCUGGUAACCUCCAUCUGCCAUGGGUGUGGCCCUAAAAAGAAAAAAAGGUAUAUUUUUUUGUCUUUUUAUGGGUUUUUUUGGGAGAGGUAUGAGUCCUGUCUGUGACCUACACCACAGAUCAUAACAAUGCUGGAUCCUUAACCCCUCGAGCAAGACCAGGGAUCGAACCUGUGUCCUCAUGGACACAGUCAGAUUCGUUUUCACUGAGCCAUGACGGGAACUGCAGAAAACAAUUUUUUUAAUCACUACACGUUUUCUAUUCUCAGAUGCUGUCAACUAGUGCUCUCACUGAAUGUACAAAACGGGAGUCCAAGGGGAGACUCGUAGCUGCCUUGCUUUCUUGGAAUAGACAUGGAUCUCACGUCUGCUUCCAAAGAACUCUCAUUUUCUGGUCUAGAGAACAACACAGAGCUAACUAUUGCAUUAGGAGAACAAACCCCAGGAACAACGCCAGAUCCGAGCUGUGUCUGCAACCUACACCAGAGCUCAUGGCAAUGCCGAAUCCUUAACCCACUGAGUGAGGCCAGGGAUCGAACCCACAACCUCCUGGUUCCUAGUCAAAUUUGUUUCUGCUGCGCCACAACGGGAACUCCUAUUUGUAGACUUUUUGAUGAUGGCCGUUCUGGCUGGUUUAUUGACUUUUAAAAGAAUCUGUAACCACCGCAGAAAAUCUCUAACCCUCCCAGCAUUUUCUCCAUGUAACCACAGUCCCCUGUGUGAGCUUUUUCAGCAUCUCGGAUGUUCCAAGGAGGCUAUCAACUAAUGGGCAAAGAAAAAAGCUCUUAGGCAGGGGAGGUACCGUUGUUAUUGGUUCUCCUUUGUCAGUCUUCAGUGAAGCUAGAGGACAGCAGGUCACCCUGGGGAGCAAAAACCCUUCCAUAAAAGGUGCUAUUAAGCUGCCCCUGGCUUCCCUUCUUUUCAGGCUGAAGAGUUCCGCUUUUUUACCUCUGCUCGAAGGCCUCAUUGUUCCUCUUCCCUGAGCCCUUUAUAGCAACAGUCUCUCCCGAAAGUGCCAUCCACCCCCUUGAGUUCUGGAGCCUAGAACGUACACAAACCCUGCUCACCAUCACUGGAAUGCCGGGAACAUGACCUCAUGAUUCUAAUCACCUCCCUCCACGAACAAGGCACCACCCAGAUGCCUCAGCGCAAGGCCACGGCUCCAGCAAAGCUCAAGUAUGUUCCACUUUUACUCUAAGUGACUUAGUCAUUCGUGUUUUGGUUUUCAUUUCCCUCGGUGUGCCAUGUUUUAUUGGUGCCUAAUGAUCUUUUCUAGUCUCCCAACAUCUUUGAUGUCUCUAAUAGAAGAAUACAUCUAACAUAUUUAGAUAUGCAUAGAAAUUUAGAAUAUAUCUGCAUAAAAAGAUUGGAGAUGGUAGAAUCUGAAAAAGUAGUUUUCUCUGGGGAAUGAGAUUAUAAGCACUUUCAUUUAUUUUCUUCUCUGGAUAUUUAAAUUUUUCUAUGAUUGACACGUUGAUUGCUUUAUUUUUUAAAGGAGAAAAA
rnacentral:lncRNA from 1 species